UUUUAUUUUCUGUCAUCUGCAGCUCCUCACUCUAUCCAGAGACACACCAUGAGAAAUCCAAAUUGCCAGAAUUUUGAUUUCAAUAUUUCGCUAUGGCAGUUUGGAGAAAACCAAGGAUUAAAUCCACCAAAAACAUCUAAUUAUCCAUCCCUGAUUAUGAAUUAGAAUGUAGAAGUGUCCAGAAUGCAGUGCAUAAUAACCUGUUUCUUCAUUUCCACGUAAUUAGAGUCCCCGGACCCAAAAGCCAAUUCCAACUCUCCCCUCUCGAAAACCCCUAGCGAGACUCAGAGCCGCCGCCUCCUCCGGUUGAAGCAUGCCGCAGGUGGCGGCGGUGCUGAGGAUUCUAGCGUGUGCUUAUCUCCUCAUGUUCACUUUCUUCUGGACUCCUCGCAUUCCCCAACUUAUGGGCGGGACACCUCUGCAGAGGGAACUCGCCCGGAUUUGGGGCGUCACCAAUUUGAUACUCAUGUUUGACAUUCUCCGGAAUAUCCUCAUCUUUGCCUAUUACAUAGUCAACGUGCUACUGAUUUACAUAAUCAACAUGCCACUGAUGAUCCGCAACUCAAGUGUGUGGUGUUCGUUUCGAUGACUAUAUCCGGAAAGUGGCAUUGUCACAGGGUAUGCAUGAUGGUGCCUGUUGGUUCUAUCCUCAAUACGAGUUUUCGUUAGCAUUUGUUUUUGGGUUUGAUGCUUCUUGUGUCUGUUAGCACUGGUUUCUGAUGUGUUAAGGGAGAGCAGAGGAUUUUGUGGGAAGUAGGUGGUCAGGUUGUGGUUUUUUCCUCUUACUGUUCAUCAGUAUGAUAGAAUGGAGGCGUAUCCAUUUCCUGAAGAGAAAGAUCUUCAUGUGAAUGUCAGGAUGUAUGCAUGGUUUGAUUAAUAGUAUUGAGGCGUAGGAUGUUUGAUUAAACUUUUGGUUUUGUGGAGAGCAAGCAAGCAAGGAUUGACGGAAAAGAUUCUUGAGUUAAGGUAUGCUAUAUCAGAAGAGGGGGUUUAGACUGAAAAGGAUGUGAAGGUUAUUGCUGCUAGGCUCCAGGACUAGAUUGCUGUUGGAUGCAACCAACUGAAAUUAAUGUCAUUGGAUUUAGAAAGGGUUUAGAGAGCGUUGUGGUCCAGUAUACUAGUUGGAUUUGUUUGGAAACAGCUAAGGAAGGGUCUCCUUUGGUGUGGAAUUCCAAGAAUAUGAUUGGAAAUGAUAAACAUGUGUGAAGAGUCGGUCUCAGGCACAAAGUAGGGACCUGAGUAAUGGUUUGACACUUUGGCUAGGAUAGGGAGGGAUCUUGUAAAUUGAAUAAGUGAGAGUGAUGUAUUUGUGGUAAUGACAGAGUGAUAGGUGAUGGUACCACAAAUUGGGGUAUGGUAAGAGAAAGUUUUAUUGAUUUUAAAGCAAACUGGCAUAAUUGAUUCUGCAAGAUACUUCUAUUCCCUAAAUUAUUCUCUUUACUGGUAAUGGAAAAUCUGCUAUCUUUCCAUCAUUAGUUUUGACCAAAGUGACCUAUUGCACAAAUCUGCUGUAUUGUUUUGGAUUGCUGUUAUUUGUGAGCUUCUUACCACAGUAAGGAGGAUAAUCUGUUUCUUGUGUCUUUGGGGAGCUAUAUCCCUUGCUCUUUAUAUUUCAAACUGAGGCAGCAAAGCAUCAGGAAAGGGAGCGUCAGAAAAAGCUUCAUCGGGGAAGGCUUUAAUUUUGGAUAUGGAUUAGCAGUUUGAAUUUUGCUAACUUGUUGGUAAGAAUUUGUGAAGUUAACACAGUAGAACAGAACCGGAAGUUAAUCCUCUAGAAACUACAGAAAAAGGAGUUGCAAUUGUCUGCCUUUAUAAAUGUGUGGAAUGAUGUUGAGAAGAACAGAAAAAACUCAAAUUUAUUUUCCAUGUUUUAACCAGUUUAUAUAGUACGAUAAAUUUGGAGUACAUGUUGUUGUUUUAAUUCCCAUAGUUUUAUGCAUUUUCCUUUCAAACUGUUUGUUUGCUCUUUCUUCAUUUUAUACUUUGUUUGCAAGAAAUGCUGGGUCUGAAAAGAAGGGGAAAAUGCAAUAUUAGCAUUUCACACUUGGGGCAGGAAGGUUUGCAAUUGUAAGCUAUUCACUGCCUAUGAGGCCAUGGCAUGUAAUUGUUGAUUCAUGUAUUGAGGUGGAGCCAAUCUUCCAUGCUUUAUCAGUUCAUGAUUCUCAAUCUGUAUGGUUCAUACACUUUGCUGGACAUAUAAGUUUAGAAAGGAAAUUUCAUUCAAUUAGUCUUAUUUUAGAUGGGAGGCAAAUCGCCACAUCUGCUAUAAAAUAUGUAUGUUUGGUUUGGGUUUCAAUGGUUAGUUACCCAAUAUGAAGUUGAGCUUCAUCCUUCUUUUUGGUUUGAGUAUCACCACAGAAUUGAUACUGAUAUAAUAGGAAUUUGCUAAUCUAGAAGAGUUUAUUUUACAAUUGCUGAUUUAAAUGAAUUUUUGUGCAUAAAUAUUGUAAGUUUGUUCGCAUUAUUGAGGACUUGUGAAAAGAAAACUCAAUUAUUUUCUCCUUGUGCUUUUAGGAA